rnacentral:rRNA from 1 species
CCUACGGGAGGCAGCAGUGGGGAAUAUUGGGCAAUGGGCGAAAGCCUGACCCAGCAACGCCGCGUGAAGGAAGAAGGCUUUCGGGUUGUAAACUUCUUUUGACAGGGAAGAGCAGAAGACGGUACCUGUCGAAUAAGCCACGGCUAACUACGUGCCAGCAGCCGCGGUAAUACGUAGGUGGCAAGCGUUGUCCGGAUUUACUGGGUGUAAAGGGCGUGUAGCCGGGCUGACAAGUCAGAUGUGAAAUCCGGGGGCUCAACCCCCGAACUGCCGUUGAAACUGGCGGCCUCGAGUGGGCGAGAAGG